GACGAACGCUGGCGGCGUGCCUAAUACAUGCAAGUAGAACGCUGAAGGAGGAGCUUGCUUCUCUGGAUGAGUUGCGAACGGGUGAGUAACGCGUAGGUAACCUGCCUGGUAGCGGGGGAUAACUAUUGGAAACGAUAGCUAAUACCGCAUAAUAGUAGAUGUUGCAUGACAUUUACUUAAAAGGUGCAAUUGCAUCACUACCAGAUGGACCUGCGUUGUAUUAGCUAGUUGGUGGGGUAACGGCUCACCAAGGCGACGAUACAUAGCCGACCUGAGAGGGUGAUCGGCCACACUGGGACUGAGACACGGCCCAGACUCCUACGGGAGGCGGCAGUAGGGAAUCUUCGGCAAUGGACGAAAGUCUGACCGAGCAACGCCGCGUGAGUGAAGAAGGUUUUCGGAUCGUAAAGCUCUGUUGUAAGAGAAGAACGAGUGUGAGAGUGGAAAGUUCACACUGUGACGGUAUCUUACCAGAAAGGGACGGCUAACUACGUG
rnacentral:rRNA from 1 species